ensembl:rRNA 5S_rRNA 5S ribosomal RNA
AUCAGCAGCCAUACCACCCUGAACGCACCCAAUAUUGUCUGAUCUCGAAAGCUAAGCAGGACUGAACCUGGCUAGGACUUGGAUGAGAGACUAACAAGACUAUGCCAUGAGCCAGGUGUUGACAGAUC